rnacentral:rRNA from 1 species
UGCACGGAGAGUUUGAUCCUGGCUCAGGACGAACGCUGGCGGUGCGCUUCAUGCAUGCAAGUCGGACGAGAGGACAGGCUUCGGUCUGCGAUCUAGUGGCGGACGGCUGAGUAACACGUGAGCAAUCUGCCCUCGGGUGGGGGACAACUCCGGGAAAUCGGAGCUAAUACCGCAUGAUGUUCUUCCAUGCAAGUGGAAGGACCAAGGGUUUCGACCGCCUGAGGAGGAGCUCGCGGCCUAUCAGCUUGUUGGUGAGGUAAUGGCUCACCAAGGCGACGACGGGUAACCGGUCUGAGAGGAUGAUCGGUCAGAGGGGGACUGAGACACGGCCCCCACUCCUACGGGAGGCAGCAGCAGGGAAUCUUGCGCAAUGGGCGAAAGCCUGACGCAGCGACACCGCGUGGGGGAUGAAGGCUUUCGGGUUGUAAACCCCUUUUGCCAGGGAAGAAGAUCUGACGGUACCUGGCGAAUAAGGCCCGGCCAACUACGUGCCAGCAGCCGCGGUAAAACGUAGGGGCCAAGCGUUGUCCGGAAUUAUUGGGCGUAAAGGGCGCGUAGGCGGCCCGGUAAGUCUCUUGCGAAAGCUCCCGGCCCAACCGGGAGAGGUCAAGGGAAACUACCAGGCUUGAGGACGGCAGAGGAAGGUGGAAUUCCCGGUGUAGCGGUGGAAUGCGUAGAUAUCGGGAGGAACACCA